rnacentral:rRNA from 1 species
UACGUAGGGGGCAAGCGUUGUCCGGAUUUAUUGGGCGUAAAGAGCUCGUAGGCGGCUUUGAUGCGUCGACUGUGAAAACCCGCGGCUUAACUGUGGGCUUGCGGUCGAUACGGGCAGACUAGAGUGUGGUAGGGGAGAUCGGAAUUCCUGGUGUAGCGGUGAAAUGCGCAGAUAUCAGGAGGAACACCGGUGGCGAAGGCGGAUCUCGUGGGC